GACGAACGCUGGCGGCGUGCUUAACACAUGCAAGUCGAACGGAAAGGCCCUGCUUUUGUGGGGUGCUCGAGUGGCGAACGGGUGAGUAACACGUGAGUAACCUGCCCUUGACUUUGGGAUAACUUCAGGAAACUGGGGCUAAUACCGGAUAGGAGCUCCUGCUGCAUGGUGGGGGUUGGAAAGUUUCGGCGGUUGGGGAUGGACUCGCGGCUUAUCAGCUUGUUGGUGGGGUUGUGGCUUACCAAGGCUUUGACGGGUAGCCGGCCUGAGAGGGUGACCGGCCACAUUGGGACUGAGAUACGGCCCAGACUCCUACGGGAGGCAGCGGUGGGGAAUAUUGCACAAUGGGCGGAAGCCUGAUGAAGCAACGCCGCGUGCGGGAUGACGGCCUUCGGGUUGUAAACCGCUUUCGCCUGUGACGAAGCGUGAGUGACGGUAAUGGGUAAAGAAGCACCGGCUAACUACGUG
rnacentral:rRNA from 1 species